CUUUUCAGAGCUUGGAUUACGAAGGAAGCGGUCUAUGGUCUUUCCUUGAGCAGGAGAAGUUAUGGGUGAGGAAUUAUUGGGUUCAAACAGCUCUACAAGUACCACAGCCAUCGAUUCCUCCANNNNNNNNNNNUCAGCUAUUGAAGAAGCAUGGGUGGAAAGAAGGUACUGGUCUUGGAGUUUCUGAGCAAGGGAGGUUAGAGCCAUUACAGGCAUGUCUGAAAAAUAAUAAACGAG
rnacentral:misc_RNA from 1 species